CCUCAAACAUAUUUUAACAUGUAGCUUAGGAAACGCAAAAUAAUAAUGCCGUUGCAAAGUGCCAUACCGUUUUGAAUAUUUAUAUAGAAAUACUCAUGCCAGAUAAAAAAUACUUCCUCCGUUGAGGCAGAAAUAAAUAAAUCUCCCUUCCUCUAACAUAUCAAGAAUAACAUUUGUCUCAACCCAAUUAUGCCAUCUUGCUGCUGGUUUUAUACCUGUGCAAUAAAAACCUCUAGCUGACCUCGAUCUAAUCAAAGUCAAAACGGAGCAUGCGGUUACUAGUCAGUCAAUUAUUUUGCAUGAUUUUUAUUAUUUAUUCCUACAUAUCACAUUGUCGUUUGUUUUAUUCACACACUAUUUGUUUUUAUAGAUUAUAGAGAUUGUCUUUUAAUUAUACAUUAUCUAUACAUGUUUUAUACGCCAUUAACAAGCUUAAUUUUAUACACAGUAUACAUAUCUCGUUGUUUAAAAACAUCUCGCUGUUCAAAUACUGCUUGACAAAGAAUUCAUAAGGUCCAGUAUUUGAUCGAGUAGGGUGGAUGGUGUAAAAUAAGCUUGGACAUUGGUAAAGAUGCGUAUAUGUGUUCAGUAAGAAUAUAGAAAAAUAUAUUUAAUAUACAUAUUUUUAGGACAAGUGAAAAAAUCUUGUUCCAAAUGUUAAUGUAUCUCGUUUUAUUUUUAUUAUUUUAUUGAUUGUCGCAUUAUUAGCAAUAAAGUAUAUGUUGAUCAUGACAGUUG
rnacentral:sRNA from 1 species